CAACACCAAUUACUAAAACAAAAACAAAUACUAGAACAAGAACAAGUACUAAAACAAGAACAAGUACUAGAAUAAUAACAAAUACAACAACAACAACACAAACAACCAUUAAAAUCUAGGAAAUUACAACAGUUAACACUAUGUCGUCUGAUCCAUGGAUCAUUUGGAUGCAAUCAAUGUCGCUUUCAACUUCAACCCACGAACAUACCGUUUCUCCAAUUUCAAAUGAGAUACUUCUUCUAAGCCUCUGAAUCCUUCUGAUGACUUCACCAGGUUCG
rnacentral:lncRNA from 1 species